ACCAGAUAUACUCGACAGCAGCCUGCAGAAACCUUCUAUUGGUUUCCUGACCUUGGAGGGAGGGCAUGGGAAAGUCCAAAUUGAAUUCACGAGAACUGACUCUCCCUCAGAACUCAAAGCAGCACCGCACUCCUAGAGGAACUGCAGAGAUGAAUGCCAGAGGGAAGGCUUUUCCAAGGAUGAAGGUGAUGUGAUCUUGAAGAAGUCCAUGAUCCAUGCUUCGGUCGGCUGCUUUGGCAAGGAGGUUUCUUUAGCAGAGGCAUCUGUGACUGUAGACUCAUAACUGAGAAUGAGAAACACCGAAGGCUUCUGUGACAACCUCCACAUUUCCCACUGGGUAGCUCUUCACAGUCUUCACAGUUGAUAGCUUCUGACAGGGGUGGUGGUGGUGGUGGAGCUGGUGGUGGUGGUAUGGUGAAGAAGGACUCAGUUUUCUUGAACGGACUGGUCAUUGGACAUGCUCCAAAGAGUAAAUGGGAAAUACAAAUUGGUCUUGGUGGGUUUGUUGUUGUUGUUGUUAUUUUGGGGGAGGCACAAGACUUGGAAGAACCUGGGGGGGGGGAAUAGAAAGCAUGUGACCAAGAUGCAUUAUAUGAAAUAAUUAAUAAAAAUAUUAUGUUGUAGAAAAAA
rnacentral:lncRNA from 1 species